GCUCAGGAGCUCUGUCCAGCUGGAAAGGCUGGGUUUCUGUCCCCUUUAGUCAGAACAAGCAGAAGGGUGGUGUUUAGGCUCCUGGAGGGACAAAGCCACAUGUGACCCUCUUUCUGGGUUGAUGGGGAAGUGGCUGGGCACACACACUGUGUCUCCUGGCAGCAGCUGUCAUCCAUGUUUGUGAGGGAGAAACCUUGAGAAAAUAGGUGCAGCUGCUCUGCCUGCAUUCUUAGGAGCCCAGGAAAGCACUUUGCAUGCACUUAGCAGACCAGACAGCCCCUUUUGCAAAUCCCCCUCCUGUCUUCUCCCUCUCAUUUCACAAUCCCAUCAGAAUGGGUGACUGUGCAAGUAGAGAAGGAUUUGCUCUUAAUGAGUCUGCCCAUAAUUGCCUUGUUUUCUUGGCGUUGACAAACUAUAUCCCUUAAUAAAAGUUUCAUGACUCAAUUUAUUGAGGGAGACAUGUAAUCCCAGCCCCUCCUGCCUGGUCUCAAAGAUUAUCUCUGGAACAUUCCUAUAUUUGACAUGAGCCCUGUCUUCAGGGGCAUUGCCAGGGCAUCUGUGGGCAGAGAGAGCCACCCACUCUCUGGGAAGGCCUCUCUGCAAUUGCCUGCUCCUUUCCUCUUGCGGUGGCCAGUGGUCAUUUUGGCUGCCCAGAAUCCACUCUCCCGCAUCUGUCCUAAUCACCUGUGGUGGAUUGUUUGCAGGCUGUCUAGCCCUUUGCCAGAUGCACCUCCCAUCAAGAGGUGGGGUCUAUUUUCUCUCCCCUUAGGUCAAGGCCAAGGUGCUUUGACAGUGGAAUUCCUAGAAGUGACUCCAUGUGGGUGCCCAGGACAGAGCUCCAGGGGCCUUGGGGCUUCUGGCUUUGCCGUGUCGGGGGGCUGACAUGGAGGAGAGCUGAAGCACCCUAACCAGCACAGUGCCAAUUGCCAGGUGUGCAAGUGACAUCAUUGACCUCCCAGCCCUGGUAGAGCCAUCAGAAAACUGCAGCCCAAGGAUGAUGCCAGGGAGAAGAGCAUGGCUUCCAGAUUCCAGCCCAGAGACUCCUGAGGAAGAAAACUGCCACUUUAAGCCACAGAGAUUGGCAAGCCUGUUACGCAGCAAUAGAUGACUUUUGCAACCACCUCUUUCUGUCUCAGCUAUGGCAUCUGGGUGGGGACUGACCCUAGACAGAGCUCCGGGAGUGGGUCCUGACUGGUUUAAGCUAAUUGGAGCAUCCUGUCCUCCUCAUUCUCAGUGACAUAUCAGGAACCAUUUGCUGGAGCUGAGCGAGAAACUUCCUUACUGCCUGAGAAAAAGCUGCUGUGGUGUGAGAAUGUGGGGACAGGAAGCCAGGAAUCAAGGCAGCUGUUUAUAGCCUGGGGAGCACCUGGAGCUUCUGGGGGACUUCCAUGUGGAGCCAGAGGGUGGAGGCAAUGGAGCCAAAGCCACAGGAGCAGAAGUAAAAGCUAUUAAAGAAUCAGAAGGAAAGAAGGAAAGUUGGAAGAAAGGAAGAUACUUUUCAGAUGGUGAAACAAUUCCAAGAAAAUAAAGAAGUACGUUUUCUAUGGACUGGUGUUGGGCAGUUGACCAGGUGGCAGGCAGCCUCUAAGACAGCAGUUAAUGAUCCCAGCCUUCUGUCAGUCACACCUCUGCAUAGUCCUCUCCCACCUUGGAUAGUACUGACCUGUGGAACCCAUUGAAUAUUACGGAAAUGGCAGUGUAUUGGCUGGAUCAUAAAAGACAUUGCAACUUUCACCUUGCCUUCUCGAAGAUGAUGCACUCUUAGAGAAGGAAGCCAGCUGCCAUGUUUUGAUGACAUUCAAGCAGCUCUACAGAGAGGCCAGCAUGGCAGGGAUCCAAUGCUUUCUGCCAACAGCCAGCAUGAACUUGCUGGCCAGCCAUGUUGCAAGUGGAUCCUUCAGCUUUAAGAUUUUAGAGAUGGCAGCCCUGGCCAAUGUCUUAAUAGCAACCUCAUGAGAGAUCCUGAGCCAGGACCACCCAGCUUAGUCAAUCCUAAAUUCCUGACUCAGAGAAACUGUGAGCUAAUAAAAGCUUCUUGCUGUUUUAAGUGGCUGUAUUUCGGGUAAUUUGUUACACAGCAAUAGGCGACUUGUAUACCAAAAGAGAGGAGCCCAUUUUUAUUGAAUACUUGCAUUGUUCUAUGAAGCCCCAAAUGUUCUUUUGUGUAAUCUUAACAUAAACCCCUUAACAAACACUCAUGUAACAUUU